rnacentral:rRNA from 1 species
UUGGAGGGCAAGUCUGGUGCCAGCAGCCGCGGUAAUUCCAGCUCCAAUAGCGUAUAUUAAAGUUGUUGCAGUUAAAAAGCUCGUAGUUGAAUUUCGGGGUUUAUACGUUGGUCGGGCUUUUGGGUCUGUACUGGCGUAAUGAAUUCCUACCUUCUGAAUAACCAGCAUGUCAUUAAUUUGAUGCGCCGGGGAAGCAGGACUGUUACCUUGAAAAAAUUAGAGUGCUUAAAGCAGGCUAUUGCCUGAAUACAUUAGCAUGGAAUAAUGAAAUAGGACGGCAUGGUUCUAUUUUGUUGGUUUCUAGGAUCACCGUAAUGAUUAAUAGGGAUAGUUGGGGGCAUUAGUAUUCAAUUGUCAGAGGUGAAAUUCUUGGAUUUAUUGAAGACUAACUAUUGCGAAAGCAUUUGCCAAGGAUGUUUUCAUUAAUCAAGAACGAAAGUUAGGGGAUCGAAGACGAUCAGAUACCGUCGUAGUCUUAACCAUAAACUAUGCCGACUAGGAAUCGGGCGUCGUUAUUUUCACGACUCGUUCGGCGCCUUACGGGAAAC